UUAGGAUUUUAUUUUUGUGUAUACUCUGUUUUUGCCAUUCGACAAUUGAAAGAAAGAUGUUUUUUUUCCUUUUGCGUGCUAGCAAUCUGUUUGGUUGCUCUUUGAGAAGCGAUGUGUACAUAUAGCUUAGCGUGCGUCAUUUUGAAUAGGUAAUGCUCUUAUUCCAUUAGAGGUCCCAAUUUGGAAAUGAAAGUCAUGUUCAAUCACCAAAAGUGAGAACUUCACAAAUUCGAGCAAUAGCUUACCUACUACAAAAAUCUAUCAUUUCUCACAAUCAAAUAGCAAAAUUGAAGAACGCUACAGUGAAGUGUCGACCACUGGAGUGAAGUUAGGGUUUUAACUAUGCAUUCCACUUACUGACAUCAUUACUGGUUUUAACUAUGAAUUUCCGGCUACCAGAAUGUCUACAGUGAUAGAUCUCGGAGAUCGGAGCAACACUUGCCCGGCUGAUCGGAGUUGAAGAGCUUAUUGGGCCUUGUGGACUUGUUGCUACCAUUUGUAUGUGUUACCCGAGCCCAAAACAAGUGCCUCAUCUAUGUUUGAAAGGCAAAAGUUUUAUCAGAAAAGUAUUCCUCACCUCCUCGACAUGUGAAUGGAAGAACACGAAGUUUUUGAUUGAAUUGAAAUCUAUGGCAUAUCAGUUUGUUAAAUGUUGUUUCCUACAUUCCUGAAAAUCAUCAGAUUCUAUAAUUAGUUUGAUUUUCUUUGUUAUGUUUGCUCUUUACUGUUUUAGUUUUAAGUUUGGUUGUAAUAUUGGAUAAAUCAUGGGCUCUAACCACUUAGUCUAAAUGAGUUUGAGUUUGUGUUUGUAUAAAUGGACUAUUAAGGCUAUUGCAAUAGAAGAUUCAGUCGAUUUACUUG